rnacentral:lncRNA from 1 species
AUAUUUUCAGAAAUAUAACAAAAAUGAUUUUUUAUUAAUAUCCUACUUGGGUUUUUUGUUUAUUUUGAGAUGAUCUUACUCUUUAGCCCUGACGGUCUGGAACUCACUAGCCUUAAACUCUGCCUUGAGCAAGAUAUGCCUGCCUUUGUUUCCUAAGUGCUGGGAUUAGAGGUGUUUCCCACCUCUUCUCACUACUGUAGUUGUUACCAGACCUGGUAGUACUGAUUUGUAUUCCCUGCUAUUCUUGAAGCUCAGAGUAAUAGUUUAUCCAUCUGUAAUCUUAUUAUUUGGGAGGCUGAAAUAUGAUUAUCACAAGUUUAAGACUAGCCUGGGCUACAUAUCAAGUCUAGGAUAGCAAUAGUAAUAAUUUUUUAAAAUAGAGCUAGGGACAUCAAAGGUAGUGGGGCUGCCUAGUAUGUGUAAGGCCUGAGAUUCAGUCCUAGGUACUGAGAAGGGGAGGGGGAAAUAGCUCAGUCAGUAAAAUGCCAGGUGCACAGGCUUGAAGAUCUAGCAUUGUCUUACACUGACAUAAAAGCUGAGCCCUGUGCCACACCUUUUAAACUCAGCACAGGUGGGAUGGAGAUAGACAGAUCCCUAGAGCUUAUUGCUUAGCUAGCCUGGCUGAAUUGAUGAGCUCUAAGCUCAGAGAUCCUGUCUCAAAAAUAAGAUUUAGAGCCAGUGAGACAGCUUAGAUGCAUACAUACACCCACAUACAUGUUUACAUGCCCACAUGAACACAUCAUUACCACUGCACACACAUACACAUACAAACAGUAAUAAUUUAUUGUAAUUAAUAGGCCAAUAUUGAUGACUUGUUUUUGAUUAUUCAGAGUAUUUUUCUCUAAUACCUGUUUUCUCUUCCAGGGUCCCACAAAGAUUACAACAUACAAAUUAAUUUUUCUGUCUAGUUGCUUCUUGGCGGUGACAGAAUCACAGCUUCCAUAUUUGUGAUGGCCUUUACACUUUUAAGAGGUACAGGUCAGGCAUUUGAUCCUUUGAAACUAGAUCUUUGUAGCUUAGAGCCAUCUUGUUGUCUAGAAAAACAAACAAACAAACAGGUUGUCUUAGAACUCACAAUCCUCUUGGGUGCUGGAAUUAUAGGUAUACCUCACUGCACCUGCUGGUGAGUUAUUUUGGAAGGUGUUUCUUUGUUAGAAUAGUCAUAAGAUUAUGGUAAUGGGUUAUUGACCGAAAGAUAAAAUCGCCAAUCAGUUUUCCACCCAUCAUACUGUGUGUGUUUGUGAAUGUGGAAGGCAAAGGUUGACAUCUGUUGUCUUCCUCAAUCAUUAUCCAUCUUUUUUUUUCCCCCAUUUUAUUUUUUGAGACAGAGUCUCCUAUUGAACAUGGAGCUGACUGGUAGACUAGGCUGGCUGGCCCAUGAGCGUCAGGGAUCCUCCAAUGAGGGUCUGUUUCCUCAGUGCCAAGACUAUAAGUAUGCAUCACUGUGCCCAGUUUUUUAUGUGGGUGUUGGGGAUCUGAACUCAGGUCCUCAUGCUUGCACUAGAAGCAUUUUACUGACUGGGUCAUCUUCCCAGUGCCCUCAUAUGUUAAGGUACAUCCAUCAACAUUAUUUGGUUGGUUGGUUUUGCUAGAGCCUUCAGCAUGCUGUUAUUAGUCAGAGUUCCCUAGAGUAGCAGAAUGAAUCUUUUUCUGUAUAUAUAAAAUGGGGAGUUAUUAGAUUCACAGGCUGUGUUAUAACUAAUUCAACAAUGGCAGGCUAUGAAUGGAAAGUUAAGAAUCUAGAAAUUGCUCAGUCCAUGAGGCUAGAUGUCUCAGUUGAUCUUCAGAAGAUGUUGAAAUCCCAAAGAAAUAGGCUCAAGUGCCAGUGAAGUAGUGCAUGCUAGCUAGCAAGGCAAGAGCAAGCCGACAUAGAGCAGAACCUUCCAUGACCUUAUAUAGGCUUCCAGCAGGUGUGGCUCAAAUGAAAGGUGUGUCUUCCUGUCUCAAAGGUCAAGACUAGAAGUAGAUGUACUUCAAACCAAGCAAAAAGUCUCUCACAGGUAUGCCCUCCAUUUCUGGAUUAUAGUUUAUUCCAGAUGUAGAACCAAGAAUAGUUAUCAUAGCAACCAUUUUCUGGCCUCCACAAAUUGUACAUGCAUACACAGAAACAUGCACAUACAUAAUUUUUAAAAAUAAUAAUUAAAAUAAAAACAAUGGGAAGAGCCAGUCCACUGUGGGUGGUACCAAUCACUAGGCAGAGGUCCUGAGGAAAUUGAACCAUGCUCAAGUAGUCAAGUAUGCAUGCAUUUUUUACUUUGUGUACUUCAUUGUAGAUAUGGCAAUCAGCUGUAUGAAGUUUCUGCUUUCACUUCACAAUGAUCAACUAUAGUACAUUUUCUGCUUUUAUUUUAACUGAAUACUACUUCAUUUUGUUGUUCAAACGGUUCUGAUUUUGGCCAUUAGAAUUUCUUUCUGUUGAUUGUUAUGGUCCUUGAUUAUUAUCACCAAACAUGUCAAGGUUCCUGGACACUUCUAACUCUAGCAUUGCAAGAUCCUGCAGGAUUGUAUUAUAUACUUCUUACCUCAGUCCUGAAAUAAACCAUUUCUCC